rnacentral:rRNA from 1 species
GAUGAACGCUGGCGGCGUGCCUAAUACAUGCAAGUCGAGCGAACGGACGAGAAGCUUGCUUCUCUGAUGUUAGCGGCGGACGGGUGAGUAACACGUGGAUAACCUACCUAUAAGACUGGGAUAACUUCGGGAAACCGGAGCUAAUACCGGAUAAUAUUUUGAACCGCAUUGUUCAAAAGUGAAAGACGGUCUUGCUGUCACUUAUAGAUGGAUCCGCGCUGCAUUAGCUAGUUGGUAAGGUAACGGCUUACCAAGGCAACGAUGCAUAGCCGACCUGAGAGGGUGAUCGGCCACACUGGAACUGAGACACGGUCCAGACUCCUACGGGAGGCAGCAGUAGGGAAUCUUCCGCAAUGGGCGAGAGCCUGACGGAGCAACGCCGCGUGAGUGAUGAAGGUCUUCGGAUCGUAAAACUCUGUUAUUAGGGAAGAACAUAUGUGUAAGUAACUGUGCACAUCUUGACGGUACCUAAUCAGAAAGCCACGGCUAACUACGUG